GACGAACGCUGGCGGCGUGCUUAACACAUGCAAGUCGAACGGAAAGGCCCUGCUUUUGUGGGGUGCUCGAGUGGCGAACGGGUGAGUAACACGUGAGUAACCUGCCCUUGACUUUGGGAUAACUUCAGGAAACUGGGGCUAAUACCGGAUAGGAGCUCCUGCUGCAUGGUGGGGGUUGGAAAGUUUCGGCGGUUGGGGAUGGACUCGCGGCUUAUCAGCUUGUUGGUGGGGUAGUGGCUUACCAAGGCUUUGACGGGUAGGCGGCCUGAGAGGGUGACCGGCCACAUGGGGCCUGAGAUACGGCCCAGACUCCUACGGGAGGCAGCAGUGGGGAAUAUUGCACAAUGGGCGGAAGCCUGAUGCAGCAACGCCGCGUGCGGGAUGACGGCCUUCGGGUUGUAAACCGCUUUCGCCUGUGACGAAGCGUGAGUGACGGUAAUGGGUAAAGAAGCACCGGCUAACUACGUG
rnacentral:rRNA from 1 species